UACGUAGGGGGCAAGCGUUGUCCGGAAUCAUUGGGCGUAAAGAGCGUGUAGGCGGCCCGGUAAGUCCGCUGUGAAAGUCCAGGGCUCAACCCUGGGAUGCCGGUGGAUACUGUCGGGCUCGAGUCCGGGAAGAGGAGUGUGGAAUUCCUGGUGUAGCGGUGAAAUGCGCAGAUAUCAGGAGGAACACCGGUGGCGAAGGCGGGUCUCUGGGCAACAACGUGACGCUGGAGGAGCGAAAGCGUGGGGAGCGAACAGGA
rnacentral:rRNA from 1 species